UACGUAAAAUCCGAGCGUUGUCCGGAAUUAUUGGGCGUAAAGGGCUCGUAGGCGGUUCGUCACGUCGGGAGUGAAAACUCGAGGCUUAACCCCGAGCCUGCUUCCGAUACGGGCAGACUAGAGAUAAACAGGAAAAAACAGAACUCCUGGUGUAGCGAUAGAAUGCGCAAAUAUCAGGAAAAACACCGGUGGCGAAGGCGGCUCUCUGGGCCUUACCUGACGCUGAGGAGCGAAAGCAUGGGUAGCGAACAGG
rnacentral:rRNA from 1 species